AGAGUUUGAUCCUGGCUCAGGAUGAACGCUAGCGGCGCGCUUAACACAUGCAAGUCGAGGGGUAACGCACCUUUUGGUGUGAGCUGACGACCGCAGCACGGAUGAGUAACUGGGUUGUCUGCCCUCUGGAGCGGGAGGAUAGCUUCAAGAGGGUGCUAUUACCACCCCAUUCCAUUUCUUUGGGGCCACGCGGCUGCAGCUGUCUACGGCGGUUUCUCAUGGCCCCGCCUACUUGUUGUUAGGUGGAGGGGCAACCGCUGCUACAAGCGAUAAUUGGUCUGAGUCCUGAAACGGUCAUCCCGCGACUGAGACCUGACACACACACCUAACUCCUGCAGGAGGGAGCAAUGAUGAAUAUUGGUCAAAGGCCUCACGCCUGAACCCCCCAUGCCUGAUGAAGGACUACGGACCUACAGGUUGUGUCCUACAUUUCUGAACGAACAUGAUAACAACAUCCGGCGAUCUGGCCGGACCUCUUCGAAUAACCAUCGCCUACUUCCUGCCCACCACCCGCGUAAAUACGGAGGAUGCAACGUUGAUCCGAAUUCUUGGGUUUAAAGGCGUGCGCAGGCUGUAAAGCAAGUCAGUGUGAAAACCCUCUGGCUCUUAACUCAGAGGUUGCCAUUGACUGCGUUUUACUAGUACGUAGAGAAGGACGUGCGGUUGAGGUGUGUAGCGUGAGAUAUGCAUAUAUAUAACUCAAAACACCUAUUGCAUGCGCCUCUGUCUAUACUAUAACUGACUCUGACGCACAAAAGUGUGGAGAGCGAACGAGAAUAUAUACCCUGAGACUCCACUCUGUAAACUAUGAUCACUCUGUGGUUGGCUACU
rnacentral:rRNA from 1 species